CUUGCUUCUCUUGAGAGCGGCGGACGGGUGAGUAAUGCCUAGGAAUCUGCCUGGUAGUGGGGGAUAACGUCCGGAAACGGACGCUAAUACCGCAUACGUCCUACGGGAGAAAGCAGGGGACCUUCGGGCCUUGCGCUAUCAGAUGAGCCUAGGUCGGAUUAGCUAGUUGGUGGGGUAAUGGCUCACCAAGGCGACGAUCCGUAACUGGUCUGAGAGGAUGAUCAGUCACACUGGAACUGAGACACGGUCCAGACUCCUACGGGAGGCAGCAGUGGGGAAUAUUGGACAAUGGGCGAAAGCCUGAUCCAGCCAUGCCGCGUGUGUGAAGAAGGUCUUCGGAUUGUAAAGCACUUUAAGUUGGGAGGAAGGGCAGUAAAUUAAUACUUUGCUGUUUUGACGUUACCGACAGAAUAAGCACCGGCUAACUCUGUGCCAGCAGCCGCGGUAAUACAGAGGGUGCAAGCGUUAAUCGGAAUUACUGGGCGUAAAGCGCGCGUAGGUGGUUCGUUAAGUUGGAUGUGAAAUCCCCGGGCUCAACCUGGGAACUGCAUUCAAAACUGACGAGCUAGAGUAUGGUAGAGGGUGGUGGAAUUUCCUGUGUAGCGGUGAAAUGCGUAGAUAUAGGAAGGAACACCAGUGGCGAAAGCGACCACCUGGACUGAUACUGACACUGAGGUGCGAAAGCGUGGGGAGCAAACAGGAUUAGAUA
rnacentral:rRNA from 1 species